UUUUUUUCACAGCUUGAAGCAAAGUUUUAAUUCAAGCUGAUUUAAGGACUAAUAAUCAUGAAAGGAUGAUGCUAUGAGCUGUUCAUUUGCUUGCAAAACUAUAUUAAUGGAAUGUCUAGAGCUUACAUGCAAUUUAGAAUCUCACAAGAGAUGGAGAUUUUGAUUGCAAAUUUGCAUCAGGCCAGAAGUCUCUUGAGUUUGAGCUUUGGAUUCUGCA
rnacentral:misc_RNA from 1 species